CUCAAGCUAAAAACAAAAGAAGGGCAAUCUAUAGUUAUUUAUGGAAAAAUUAAGUUACCUACAGUAGCACAUCAUCCAUCUAUGUAUCGUUUUAAGUAGGCCUAUGAGCUAUAGCCUUUAAUACUGAUCACACUGAACAUGUCCUUGACUAUAGCUUAACACGCCUUUAAUACUGAUCAUAUUGAACAUGUCCUUGACUAUAGCUUAACACGCCUUUAAUACUGAUCACACUGAACAUGUCCUUGAAACAUGGCUACAGCUCUAUCAUCGCUCCACAGGAAAGGGGUGAUAGUCAGACUAAUGUUUGACAUCCAAAUAUGAUCCCACAGUGUAUUAGCCGUGUUAUCUACAUUUGCUAUUUAUUUUCUAUAUAUGCAUUUUCAUUGAUAAGGCUAUUUUUCACCAGACUAGCUUGGUUGUUGUUAAGAUUAACUGUGGGCUAUAAAUCAGGCUACUUGGUGCGCAGGCUGCACCGAGAUGUCUUUAAGUUUGUAAGGUUUCAUUUCUCAGCAACGACAAACAAGGGCGAGGCUCAGGGCACGGUGUUGUUGCCUGGCUGCCACUAAUGACGGCAGGUCAGGGAGACGCAGGCGCUACUUCGCAGGGCGUUCGAUUUACGUGCGUUUACUACGGUUGCUGUGGCGAGGGAAGGCGAAGGUGGAAGCACAGGGGCUUGUGCGGUCCUGCAGAAUUAGAACCCAAGCGUUGCUGUCGGGCACAGUUACGGCACAGCUACGGCACGUACUUCAUUGAAAUUUGAUGCCAUAGUUUAAGAACUAAAAUAUAACAUUAGAAAAAUUCGAUAAAAAUUCCCUGCAAAAAGGGCCCUCAAGUCAGAGGGGUUCAAAUAAUCACUCUCACCAGAAGGCUGCUGAUCAUAUUAUAAUAUAUGUUACUGUUACUGCUGAUCAUAUUAUAAUAUAUGUUACUGUAACUGCUGAUCAUAUUAUAAUGUAUGUUACCAACUGCUAAUAAAAAGAUGAAGAAAAGCCAAAAGAUGGCAAUAUAUAUAGUGCUUACUUUGCCUUGAAGAUAACCUCAAAUCACUGCAUUAUAGACUAACAGGGUACCUUUGUGCUUGUGAGGCAUAUUUCCUGCUGAAGUGAUAGCCAACACCAAUCUCUUGUCAAUGUCCAGCCUCAUAUUUCAGGGCCUCUGGCCUUACUGGCGUGAAACAUCAGCGGAACAUCCUUACGGUCUAAUCGCCAACUUGCCCAGAUCAAAAAGCUGAUUAAAAGCUGACGUCCGCAUAAUAAACGAGGGAUGCGAGAAAGGGGGCCGGAGAACGGUGAUGUGUGCAGGCUACCAUGAGACAGGCUAGUGCUCAAUCACCCACAGCGUGGAUGACCUGGAUGGCAUUACAUCAUCUCGGUGAGCUGAAGCUGAAGCUGAAGCUGAAGCUCAUCAAAUUACACCACAACUAAUGAGGUAAAAGCGAGAUUUGCAGAAGCGUCAGAAGCCACAGUUGUUAAAUGACAAAGAGUGGGGAUUGAUGUAACACUUUGAACACGGUUCAGAAAUAUCCCAGUCUGUGCCUAAACGCUAUUCUAUACCAGCUAGUUCCAGCUGAGUCAUAUGAGCAGACAACAGGCAUGUCCUGAGGGCCCGUAUUUAGUAUAACUUUUCUUAGUGUUGCGUCAGUAAAACGCUUGUUG
ensembl:lncRNA